rnacentral:rRNA from 1 species
UACAGAGGUCUCAAGCGUUGUUCGGAUUCACUGGGCGUAAAGGGUGCGUAGGCGGCGCGGUAAGUCGGGUGUGAAAUCUCGGAGCUUAACUCCGAAACUGCAUUCGAUACUGCCGUGCUUGAGGACUGGAGAGGAGACUGGAAUUUACGGUGUAGCGGUGAAAUGCGUAGAUAUCGUAAGGAAGACCAGUGGCGAAGGCGGGUCUCUGGACAGUUCCUGACGCUGAGGCACGAAGGUCAGGGGAGCAAACGGG